UGAUGACGAGACGCUAAGGCGUUGAAGCAGUGUAUGUCAGACUUCCAAGAAAAGGCCCGAACCACGUUAAUCUCUAAUUACCUGUACCCGAAACCGACACAGGUGGGUAGGUAGAGUAUACUAAGGGGCGCGAGAUAACUCUCUCUAAGGAACUCGGCAAAAUGACUCCGUAACUUCGGGAGAAGGAGUGCCUUAUUUAUAAGGUUGCAAUAACAAGAUCCAAGCAACUGUUUAUCAAAAACACAGGUCUCCGCUAAGUCGUAAGACGAUGUAUGGGGGCUGACGCCUGCCCAGUGCCAGAAGGUUGAAGAAGUUGGUUAGUGUAUGCGAAGCUGAUGACUGAAGCCCUGGUGAACGGCGGCCGUAACAAUAACGGUCCUAAGGUAGCGAAAUUCCUUGUCGGGUAAGUUCCGACCCGCACGAAAGGCGUAAUGAUUUGGAUACUGUCUCGGAGAGAGGCUCGGUGAAAUAGACUUGUCUGUGAAGAUGCGGACUACCUGCACCAGGACAGAAAGACCCUAUGAAGCUUUACUGUAACUUGAAAUUGGAAUUGGACUUUGCUUGCGCAGUAUAGGUGGGAAGCGUUGAAAAUAUCCUUGCGGGAGUAUUGGAGCUAUCAGUGAGAUACCACUCUUGUAAUGUUAGAUUUCUAACUUUGAACCAUAAUCUGGUCAAAGAACAGUUUCAGGUGGGCAGUUUGACUGGGGCGGUCGCCUCCCAAAUGGUAACGGAGGCGUACAAAGGUUUCCUCUGAACGGAUAGAAAUCGUAUCUAGAGUGUAAAGGCAUAAGGAAGCUUGACUGUGAGACCUACAAGUCGAGCAGGGACGAAAGUCGGUCUUAGUGAUCUGACGGUACUGAGUGGAAAGGCCGUCACUCAACGGAUAAAAGUUACUCUAAGGAUAACAGGCUGAUCUCCCCCAAGAGUUCACAUCGACGGGGAGGUUUGGCACCUCGAUGUCGGCUCAUCGCAUCCUGGGGCGGUAGUACGUCCCAAGGGUUGGGCUGUUCGCCCAUGAAAGCGGUACGCGAGCUGGGUUCAGAACGUCGUGAGACUGUUCGGUCCAUAUCCGGUGUAGGCGCUAGAAUAUUGAGAGGAGCCUUCUUUAGUACGAGAGGACCGAGAAGGACACACCGCUGGUGUACCAGUUAUCGUGCCAACGGUAAACGCUGGGUAGCUAUGUGUGGAGUGGAUAACCGCUGAAAGCAUCUAAGUGGGAAGCCCACCUCGAGAUGAGUA
rnacentral:rRNA from 1 species